AUUGCCCUAGUAACGGCGAGUGAAGCGGCAACAGCUCAAAUUUGAAAUCUGGCGUCUUUGGCGUCCGAGUUGUAAUUUGCAGAGGGCGCUUUGGCAUUGGCAGCGGUCCAAGUUCCUUGGAACAGGACGUCACAGAGGGUGAGAAUCCCGUACGUGGUCGCUAGCCUUUACCGUGUAAAGCCCCUUCGACGAGUCGAGUUGUUUGGGAAUGCAGCUCUAAAUGGGAGGUAAAUUUCUUCUAAAGCUAAAUACUGGCCAGAGACCGAUAGCGCACAAGUAGAGUGAUCGAAAGAUGAAAAGCACUUUGGAAAGAGAGUUAAAAAGCACGUGAAAUUGUUGAAAGGGAAGCGCUUGCAGCCAGACUUGCCUGUAGUUGCUCAUCCGGGUUUUUACCCGGUGCACUCUUCUACGGGCAGGCCAGCAUCAGUUUGGGCGGUUGGAUAAAGGUCUCUGUCAUGUACCUCCUCUCGGGGAGAACUUAUAGGGGAGACGACAUGCAACCAGCCCGGACUGAGGUCCGCGCAUCUGCUAGGAUGCUGGCGUAAUGGCUGUAAGCGGCCCGUCUUGAAACACGGACCAAGGAGUCUAACAUCUAUGCGAGUGUUUGGGUGUCAAGCCCGAGCGCGUAAUGAAAGUGAACGGAGGUGGGAACCUUUCGGGGUGCACCAUCGACCGAUCCUGAUGUCUUCGGAUGGAUUUGAGUAAGAGCAUAGCUGUUGGGACCCGAAAGAUGGUGAACUAUGCUUGAAUAGGGUGAAGCCAGAGGAAACUCUGGUGGAGGCUCGCAGCGGUUCUGACGUGCAAAUCGAUCGUCAAAUUUGGGCAUAGGGGCGAAAGACUAAUCGAAC
rnacentral:rRNA from 1 species